AGGCAAUGCUCUCCCCAGAUCCAUGUGUAGAGAGAGAACCCAACUAGAGAGAGAAAGAGAAGGUUCGGUGGCAGUGGCCACCUGUGGCCGGCGACCCCAGCGGUCGACGGCCCCCAACGUGGUGCCGGCCAUGCACCACGCCCGACGACGGUCGGCCACGCGCCACCCCCGACGACGGCGGUCGAACGGAAGGAGAAACCAACGGCUCGCCGACGGUCGGCAACCGGGGCUUCUUGUCUCCAAAUCCAACGGCUCGCCGGCCGGAUUCAAGAGGAACAAGGAUCCAGAGGAUGAGAAAGGAGGAGGGACGACUCACCUUGCCUCCGGCGAGAUCCUCCCGGCCGGAUCGACGGCGACCGCUUCGAUUCCUCCCGCGGCAAGGUAAAACCCAAUCUCCCUUCUCCCUUUUUUUUUUUUUUUUUGUGGAAGCCUGUCGGCUGAUGCCCUAGGAAGAGAAGGAAGGAGAUCCUCGCUGGUAGGGUUUUAUCGCCCUCUAACCUCCCCUCCGAUGGAUUCGGAAGGAGGGGAGAAGGGUUUGAAAACAGGGGAGGGAGCCAAUCGGGAGUCUCCCUCCCCCAUUUCUCAUGCGUUGGGCCGCCUUGCUUGGAGGCCGGCCCAACCACAUGCGGGCCUUUACAUUCUCCCCCCCUAAAAAAAAAUUUCGUCCUCGAAAUUGACAUACCUGAAGUUUCAAAAUGCUGCGGAUAUUUGACUUUUAUCUCUUCUUUGAGCUUCCAAGUAGCCUCUCUUUCUGUAUGAUUAUUCCAUUGUACCUUUACAAAAGGAAUGGUUCGAUGCCAUGAUACAUGAUCUUUUCUAUCCACAAUUUGUAUCGGAAACUCCUAAUAGGUCACAUCCUCAUGAAGAUGUAAUGGCUCAUAUGCUACCAUAUGACUUGGGUCUGGGACAUAUUUCUUCAACAUUGACACAUGAAAAA